rnacentral:rRNA from 1 species
GACGAACGCUGGCGGCGUGCUUAACACAUGCAAGUCGAACGGAAAGGCGCGGCGUUUGUGUGGUUGUCGUUUGGGGAACGGGGGAGUAACACGUGAGUAACCCGUCCCUGACUUUGGGGUAACUUCUGGAAACUGCGGCGAAUACCGGGUAGGAUCUCCUGCUGCAUGUGGUGGGUUGGAAAGAGUGGGCGGUUGGGGAUAGACUCGCGGGUUAUCAGCUUGUUUGUGGGGUAGUUGCUGUCCAAGCCUUUGACGGGUAGGCGGCCUGAGAGGGUGACCGGCGACAUUGGGACUGAGAUACGGACCAGACUGCAACGGGAGGCAGCAGUGGAGAAUAUGGCAGAGCGAGCGCAAGCGUGAGGCAGAAACGCCGCGAGCGGGAUGCCGGCCUACGGGUUGAAAACAUAUUUGGACGGAGACGAAGCGAGCGUGACGGUAACGGGUCAAGAAGCACCGGCUAACUACGUG